AUUGAACGCUGGCGGCAUGCUUUACACAUGCAAGUCGAACGGUAACAGGCCGCAAGGUGCUGACGAGUGGCGUACGGGGGAGUAAUGCAUCGGAACGUGCCCAGUCGCGGGGGAUAACGCAGCGAAAGCUGGGCUAAUACCUCAGACGAUCUAAGGAUGAAAGCGGGGGACCGAAAGGGCUCGCGCGACUGGAUCGGCCGAUGUCAGAUUAGUUAGUUGGUGGGGUAAAGGCCUACCAAGCCAACGAUCUGUAGCUGGUCUGAGAGGACGACCAGCCACACUGGGACUGAGGCACGGCCCAGACUCCUACGCGGGGCCGCAGUCGGGAAUUUUACACAAUGGGCGCAAGCCUGAUCCAGCACUGCCGCGUGCAGGAAGAAGCCCUUCGGGUUGUAGACUGCUUUUGUCCGGAGCGAAACGGUCUGGAUUAAUACCCUAGGCUAAUGACGGUACCGUAAGAAUAAGCACCGGCUAACUACGUG
rnacentral:rRNA from 1 species